rnacentral:rRNA from 1 species
UAGGGAAUAUUGGUAAUCUGGGAAACCGGGAACCAGCAACGCCGCGUGCGCGAUGAAGGCCUUCGGGUUGUAAAGCGCUUUUUGGAAGGAUUAGGAAGGAAUGUACUUCCAGAAUAAGUCUCGGCUAACUACGUGCCAGCAGCCGCGGUAACACGUAGGAGGCAGACGUUAUCCGGAUUUACUGGGCGUAAAGCGCGUGUAGGUGGUUCUGUAAGUAGGGCGUGAAAGCUCCUGGCUCAACUGGGAGAGGCCGUUCUAAACUACAGAACUAGAGGAUGGUAGAGGAAAAUGGAAUUCCGGGUGUAGUGGUGAAAUGCGUAGAUAUCCGGAGGAACACCAGUGGCGAAAGCGGUUUUCUGGACCAAUUCUGACACUCAGAUGCGAAAGCUAAGGUAGCAAACG